AUGGUCCUGGAACAGCUUCGUCAAUAUGAGUUGAAGCAAAGCAAGAAGAAGUUGAGAUUUGAAAUUGAGUCAAAAGAGUUUGCUAAAAAGGAGAAGCAGAGGAGAUCUACAGAUGGUGCCAAGGGUGGUAAAUUUGGCAAGGUGAAGAAGAGGUUGAGUACUGUUGCUGAGGAAGGUGGUACACCUCGGCGGAGUCCACGUGUUGCUGGAAGGAAGAAGAAUCUUGGCAAGAGAACCGCUGAAGUUGGUGGAAGUGAUGAUCCUCAACGCAAAGGACUACAUGUCACUGAAGGUCCCAAUUCUGAUACGAUGACUUUGUGCUUGCUGAUUAUGUGA
rnacentral:rRNA from 1 species